CCUAGAUUAAACUUGAACCAUAAAUCCCAACAUAAAUAACUAGUCCAUUUUAUACAAGCGAUGAAAAGGAGAAUAUUCCAUACAAUACAUUGCAAAUAGGAAACAAUAAAAAUAAAUAAAUAAAUAAAAAUACAAGAGUGAAGAUAAACCCUGUUUAGAUUUGGGCUCUUGAUGGCUUGAUCUUGAUUUUCUCCAAUUAUUUCUCCUCCAAAUGUAUUCUCCUUGUGCUCUGAAAUUUUGCCUCAAUAAUCACCAAGAAAAUGAAGAGAGAAAAAAAAAAGAUGAAAAAUAAAAGAAAGGAAAGUGAAAAAGAAAGAGAAGAAGGCUAGAAUAUUUUCCAACAUGAGAAUGUGAAAAAAUGGUGGGCCAAAAAAUCAUGCUUUGUUAAUUGCAAAAUGGUCCUCGACUAAAAGAAACAGCCAAAUAGCCCUAUUGCGCAGCUGCGGCGCCGAGUCUUAGUAUCUAGCGCCACUUCUUGAAUUUCCUCUUUUUGCAGCUCCGGUCGUCUAGCAAUUGUGCAUUCAGUUCUUCGUCUUUCAUCGUAUACAUUUAGUCCUCAAAUUUUGACUUCUUUCAAUCACGUCCUCCAAAAAUUGCAAUCCUAGGUCCUCAACUUUUGGCGCCUGUGCACUUUGCUGCCCAACUUCACAAAUUUAUAUGCUUAUGGUCCCUUUUUCUUCCUUUUUGCCUUGUUAUCAUUCAAUGGGUGAUUUUUGUCCUACAAAGACAAAUGUUACUUGAUUGUGAGUAAAAUUUCAUUCAUUUAAUCAAUAAUUAGCAUAUUUGGAUAUUAAAUAAGUUUGCAAAAACACACUUAUCAUUUACCACUUGGCUCCAAAAAUAAACCAAAGCCGCCACACAAGACUUUGAGCCAUCCAUGAACUCUUA
rnacentral:lncRNA from 1 species